rnacentral:lncRNA from 1 species
GUGGCUUCUAGGUGGAGUCUAAGGUCCCUGGCUGGAUUGAGCGGGUCCUUGGUAUUAAGCAAGAGGAGGUGCAGGCCCAGCUUCAUGACCUGGAACACAGAAUCGUGAGUCAUGUGGCCCAAGAGUGGCCCAAGUCUGUGAGCAAAGCUGCUGCCAUCUUAAGACUGAGCCUUCUGAAGGAAGGAAUGACCACCGGCGUGACGAAGGAGGUGAGGCCUGCCCCACUGGCUGUCCUCCUGGCUGGGGUCACUGGUUUGCCCUCAGAAGAGCCUGCCAGGAGGGAGGGGAAAACCCUGGCUGAGCAGGUAGCAUGCUUGCCCGCCCCCCACAUGGGCUGGGCUAGCCCUGCAGGUGACCUGGCCCCUGAGUAGUGCAUGCCUGUCUUUUAGGAAGUGAACCAGAUCAUAAAGCAGGCCCUGAAAGAACACAGUGAAGAUCGAAUCGGGCUUGUGGAUUAUGCCCUGGAGUCCUCAGGAGCCAGCAUUGUCAGUAGCGGCUCGUCAGAGACAUACGGCAUCAGGACGGAGUGGUCUGCCCAUUUCACUCUGUUGGGCAUCCCAUUGUGGCGCUAUUUCCAGUCGCCAAGAGUCAUCCUCCAGCCAGAUGUCUACCCUGGCAACUGCUGGGCAUUCCGGGGCCCGCGGGGCUUUGUCGUGGUGCGCUUGUCUGCUCGGAUCCAGCUCACUGCCAUCACUUUGGAGCACGUGCCCAAAGCCCUGUCCCCAAACAGUGACAUCCCCAGUGCCCCAAAGGACUUUGUCAUCUUGGGUCUCAAUGAAGAUUCCCAGAUGGAGGGGGUUGCCCUGGGGCAGUUCACCUAUGAGAAUGCUGGGGAGGCCAUUCAGACCUUCCCCUUUCAGGUAUGGAGGGUUGAUCCCACAGCAGGGAUGCAGGCGUGUUGGUGAUCUCCAGGGCUGGAUCACCAGCCACUGGGACGCGGUGGCUUGGCAAGUGGCUGCAGUGGAAG